GGGAACAUAACGGCGUCAGCGGCGGACGGGUGAGUAAUGCCUAGGAAAUUGCCCUGGUGUGGGGGAUAACCAUUGGAAACGAUGGCUAAUACCGCAUAAUACCUACGGGUCAAAGAGGGGGACCUUCGGGCCUCUCGCGUCAGGAUAUGCCUAGGUGGGAUUAGCUAGUUGGUGAGGUAAUGGCUCACCAGGCGACAUCCCUAGCUGGUCUGAGAGGAUGAUCACCACACUGGAACUGAGACACGGUCCAGACUCCUACGGGAGGCAGCAGUGGGGAAUAUUGCACAAUGGGCGCAAGCCUGAUGCAGCCUGCCGCGUGUGUGAAGAAGGCCUUCGGGUUGUAAAGCACUUUCAGUCGUGAGGAAGGUAGUGUAGUUAAUAGCUGCAUUAUUUGACGUUAGCGACAGAAGAAGCACCGGCUAACUCCGUGCCAGCAGCCGCGGUAAUACGGAGGGUGCGAGCGUUAAUCGGAAUUACUGGGCGUAAAGCGCAUGCAGGUGGUUUGUUAAGUCAGAUGUGAAAGCCCGGGGCUCAACCUCGGAAUAGCAUUUGAAACUGGCAGACUAGAGUACUGUAGAGGGGGGUAGAAUUUCAGGUGUAGCGGUGAAAUGCGUAGAGAUCUGAAGGAAUACCGGUGGCGAAGGCGGCCCCCUG
rnacentral:rRNA from 1 species